UGCGGAGGGUGCAAUCGCUAUCCGGAAUCACUGGGUUUAAAGGGUGCGUAGGCGGCUAAAUAAGUCAGAGGUGAAAGCUUGCAGCUUAACUGCGAAAUUGCCUUUGAUACUGUAUAGCUUGAAAGGAGCUGAGGUCAGCAGAAUGUGGCAUGUAGCGGUGAAAUGCAUAGAUAUGCCAUAGAAUACCAAUUGCGAAGGCAGCUGGCUGGGCUUACUUUGACGCUGAGGCACGAAAGCGUGGGGAUAGAACAGG
rnacentral:rRNA from 1 species